rnacentral:misc_RNA from 1 species
GCUAUUUCCAUUUGAAGGAUUCGUGGGUGACCAAGAAGAUACCACUGCAUUCCCACCGAUAAGGGCUUUAAAGCUUAAAAAUCUUGAUGAUUUGAAGCAUGUAUGGGAAUCCGACUGCCAACUGCAUAAUCCAUUAUUUCAGUCUCUUGAGGAUCUUGAGAUAGUGUCUUGUGGAAAUUUGAUUUUUUUAGUACCAUCCUCUGCGUCUUUCCGAAAUCUAAAAGCUCUGAAAGUAAGUGAAUGCAACGCAUUGAUAAAUAUUGUUGCAUCUUCUACAGCCAAAAGUAUGGUACAACUU